UCGAAAAAAAAGUAGCAAUCAUAGAGGCCAGAUUACUGCAAAGUUAUAAUACGAAACCCAUGUUCUACAAUAGGGGAUGUAUACAUUUCAAAAAAGAGAUUGUACCAAAAUUGAAUUUGGCUUUUCUAUAACAUACCCCAGAACUGCCAACAAACUUCCCAUAGUCCACAACAAUACGAACUUUCGAGGCUUCAGUACUAAAACAGGAAACAUAAAACAAGCAAUCGCGUAGCAUGCUAAACUUCCUAGAAGGCAUAUGCCAAACAGCAUAUACCUUUCCCAUCUAGAUAAACUAAAUUCUGAGCUUUGAAAAUAAGAAUUUCCACCUGAUGCAUUUGUAGGGAUUUCUGUAUAGUCAUUUGACCAUGGCAUUGAGGUUCUUAACCUAUUAUACCAAGAAUUAGUCGAUUCAGCUGUCGUUUCACCAGUUCGUUGAAUUAUAGAUUGCAGACGAGACUGAAAACUCUACAUAGUCUAGUUAACAUUUCAAUUCUAUAACAAUAAAAAUCAGACCGUACUCCUUCCA